rnacentral:lncRNA from 1 species
CCUCCAGAAUCAGUCCUAUUACAGGAGGGCCAAGAUGCUCAGAUUAAAAAAUAUUUUAUGUUUGAGUCAAUGCAGGGUUCUGGGCAGCCCCAGAGCAGCUUGUGGCCUUUCUUUGUUUUGCAAACAGUGCCUGAGAAAGUUUUUCCCUGUGUUCAAGAAAAUUUCUUUUUAACAGUGUUACAGAUCUAUUCAGAUGUUUAAUAAUGCUUAAAUUCAAAGAGUUUUGCUUCUAGUGAACUGUAAUCACUAGAAAAUUUUGCCUCUAGGUAUGGCUAAUAUAACUUUACAUUAUAUAAGAAAAUUUUUUAUUGUUUCUGCUUCUAUACAAGAAGCCAAGAGUUUUAAUCUUUCAGUGUAUAUUGUUUCCUAAGUGGAAAGUAUUUUAUUAACUAAUGCUUCUCAAAGGAAGCUGUUUUCCUGCUACUCUCUGAGCCAGCUCCCCCACUGGAGGCUGGAGACUAGCCUUAGCUUUACAAUUUGCAACUGAAUAAAGUACCUAGACUUCCCCAAAAGAAGAUCUACUUUCCUAUUUUCUCAUUGUCUAGAUCUUGUGUUUUUCAAGCAGGUUAAUCAACAUUCUCCAGCCAGACCAGCGGGCAUGCAUCCCCGCCCCCAAGAACACACAGGUGGCAACUGCUAUCUUCAUUCCAAGGACAUUCCAGCACGUUGCUUUCAGUCUGAAUUGAAAUUUAGGUUUACCAAGAGGGCUAGAAAAGUAGAAAUUUCAAAUAUUAAAAGAGAUUGGUUUUUAUUUUGAUAAACAAGCUUAGUCCCUUAGCUGGCCUCUGGUUUUCCACCCUUGCUGUUACUGCAAGGUCCCCUUAGUUCCUCAGGCUGUGGGAAUAACAGGACUGAGGAGGAUGACUUCCAGCUCCUAUUUCAGCCACAAAUCAUGGUGUUACUAAUGACAUAAUUCUUGCCUAGGCCUUGCUAAAUCUGAGGUUGACAAUUCUCCUUUAGGAGCUGCACAGUACUCAGAACUGUGCAUACUGGUUUGUGAUCAUACGAAUACAGUAUUGCUACCGCUUGGUACAGAAAAUUACUGCAGGAGGAGGUCCAGCUUGACCAGUUCUGAGUCCCCUGUGCGUUAUACCCGGUUUAAAGGAGGUUGGUAUCUAAUUCCAGCUAAAAUACAAAAAUAUCUAAGGCUCUGCCUCCCCUCCCCAAAAGAUACCAAGAGCCACAGGUAUGGGUCGUGUCAACACCCACGAGAGGAAUCGGGUCAAUGUCUACCCAAGCCAAGGUUAAUAGCCCACUCAUCUACGGAUGAAAAAAUUCAUUUGAUCACCUCAGUUAAGCGUUGCCUUUUUAAACUUAAUUAAUAGGGGGGAGAGAGUUUGGAGACCGUACUGUUGGAAGGGCAAGCCCUUCACAGCCUCCCACCCUAAAAAAGCCAAUUGGCCUUGUACUAUGGAGCCAGUCGUCACCCCCUUCUCCCUGUUUCCCGCCUGUCAUCCAAAAAUGUGGAGGAAUAUCAACUCAGAGUUAUUCUUAAUAAAGUGUAUUUUUAAUUUGUUCAGUCAAACUUAGCCAGGGUUCCAACACCCUACUUAAAAUUCAACUAGGAAGUUACCUAUUCAGCACUAAUUAGCAUUAUAAAGUCAGAGCCUACUGCUUAGGGCUUUUCUGUUAGUUGUUUACUAGGAUAGAAAGGACAGUCCUAUCCAGAUACGGUUUACCAUAAGAAAAGUUAGGGAAUCCCAUGGAGACAGGUUUUUUCUUUAGCCCUAAGAAUUCAGGCAGAACUAUUAAGCAUAGAUAAUUUUUUUUUGCCUCAGGCCAGCCUUUUCCUUUUUUAUUUUUAUUAACAGCAGGGAGGAGAUGUAGUCUCCCCUUCCUGAAACCUGCUUGCUCAGGGGUGGAGCUUCCCACUCAAUCGUUCUGCCACGCCCACUGCUGGAACCUGCCGCUUUGCUGUUCAGAGCUGUGCACGUGAUCACCCUGCUAUUAGACCCAAAGAUUAAUUGGUGGGAAUCGAGCCCCUUCCCCUGCUUCAUAACUGCGCUUUGAUCAGAAUGCCUGUCUUAGCUGCAUUUCUUUCUCUCUCCGCCUAGCCCCUCUUCUCUUCCAGGUUUCCAAAAUGCCUUUCCAGGUUAGAACCCAGGCUGUGAUCUGCUGGCCAGACACAACAUAUAUGUUUCACUUGAUGUAGCCUUGUCUAAAAGGACUGUUAUGUUCUAGGUCUUAGAUGUUCAGCCUGAGAGGAAACAGUAUGAGUAACAGUUAAUCUAAUACCAGAUCCUCGACUCUGGACCCAUAUUUUACGAUAAUUUUGGGGAUUAUGAUUACAUCAUUCCUACCUCCUGUGAUCAAUCAGUAAACACAUCUAAUGCCUGCAGCUGGCAAGAAGAAAGGUUGAUGGCAUUUCAGUUCCCAGGCUUGGUGUCUUUGGAAGAGACCAUGAAGGAGAGGGAAGAAGAAGCAGGAAAAGGGUCCCAUGGGUGGAUGGAUUGGGAGAGCAUGGCCAGGAGGGCUAGCCUGAGAGUAUGAGCAGCCUGGGCAGAAUAUGGCAAGUGAGCCGGGCGUGGUGGCACUCGCCUUUAAUCCCAACACUUGAGAAGCAGAGGCAGGCGGAUUUCUGAGUUCUAGGCCAGCUUUGUCUACAAUGUGAGUUCCAGGACAGCCAGGGCUAUACAGAGAAACCCUGUCUC